UACGGAGGGUGCAAGCGUUAUCCGGAUUUACUGGGUUUAAAGGGUGCGUAGGUGGGUUGGUAAGUCAGUGGUGAAAUACUUUCGCUUAACGAAGGAACUGCCAUUGAUACUACCAGUCUUGAAUACAGUGGAGGUAGGCGGAAUGCGUCAUGUAGCGGUGAAAAUGCUUAGAUAUGACGCAGAACACCAAUUGCGAAGGCAGCUUGCUACACUGUUAUUGACACUGAGGCACGAAAAGCGUGGGGGAUCAAAACAGG
rnacentral:rRNA from 1 species